GACAGAGGUGCCGAGCGUUAGGCGGAAUCACUGGGCUUAAAGCGUGUGUAGGCGGGCCGUUAAGUGCCCCGUGAAAUCCCCCGGCUCAACCGGGGAACGGCGGGGCAUACUGGCGGCCUUGAGCCACUUAAGGGCAGACGGAACAAGCGGUGGAGCGGUGAAAUGCGUAGAUAUCGCUUGGAACGCCAAUGGUGAAAACAGGUAACUGGGAGUGUGCUGACGCUGAGACACGAAAGCCAGGGGAGCAAACGGG
rnacentral:rRNA from 1 species